rnacentral:misc_RNA from 1 species
UGACCGUCAGGAAAGUGUAUUUUAAAAUUAUUCGGAAUCAUACUUCUCAUUUUUUGUGUGAGACUUGAUCGGCUUGGGAGUUGACACAAUCAAUUCAUCGUGGAUAACAGAUUCGUUCUUACUAUAGCAGACGUUUCGCCAACGCUUGCGCGGUAGCACGCUAUCUGUUACCCACGUAUUUCGCAUCUUUACUCCGCCCUGACACCGUAGCUGUCAUCAUUUGAGUUUUCUGUCAUUCAAAAAAAUCGUCAUAACUGGUGGUACAGGGGUCUCUGUAGGGACCCGACAGCCAACUAAAAGACUUAAGAAAAAGAAGAAAUCGCCAAAUCCUGCAUGAGCGCUGAGCCCAGUUUACGCGCAAACCAUUCUCAAAUAGAUUCUACUUGGGACUUCUGUUCUGUUAUUCCUGGUUCUUGUCCAUUGAUCCAUGUCAGAACUACCUGCAGAAUUGACAGCGAAGCCCUUGGCUUUGAUCGGUGUUACCGGAUUGGAUACAAUAAACAAUGCGAUUCACCGAUUGAUUUGGGAUGCAUUCAGCAACAAUCGCCGGCCAGACAGUGCAGCUGUUCAGUUUAAACUAUUAAGCAAUGCCCAUGAGUUUCCAACAGUUAAACCAAAGCGUAACUCCUACGAAUGGUACAUACCCAAAGGGAUAUUAAAACGAAAUUGGAUGAAUAAAUAUCUAAAUGACAUACCAUCCGUCGUUGUUAUAUUUUAUGACUUGGAUUGGAAUGAUUCUAUGUGGAAUGAAAAAAAGAUCGAAUGUGCAUCGAGAGUUCAAUCCUUGAGAGCUGCUAUCGAGGGUAGAAGUACGAAGAUUGCUGUAGUUCUAAUACAGCAUGGAGCACCGCCACAACCAGGCGCUGAAGAUGCUGCAACAACUGAGCGUGCUACAGCUUUGUGUGCUGCAUGUGAAUUGCCAGCCAAAUCGUUAUAUGUCUUACCUCAUGGCGAUCACUUGUUGGGUUAUACUCUAAGGUUGGAAAAUGCCUUCUAUGAUUUGGCCCAAAACUUCUAUCACCUGGAAGCCCGCAUCGUGAAAAAUCACAGAGAUCACCUGAACAAGACUACACAUCAAUAUUUGUUUGUCCGGCAUCAGUUUAAGAUGGGCUUUCUAAAUGAAUUGAAACAGGAUCAGCACAUGGCUCACAAGCAUUAUCAGUUGGCGUACAAUAACUUGCUCGAUAUACGAAUGGUGGACACAAAUGCUUUGGAAAUAAAGACUGUUGCAAGCUUCAUAAAUUACAAACUAUGUCGUCUAAUGUUCAACUUAAAUCUUCCCCGUGAUGCUAUUUCGCAGUUUAGAGCUCACACAGAUCGUUUUAAAUUGAAAGUUGGUCCCAAAGAACUAAUGUUUGAACAUCACGCGUGGAUGUCAGGACAGUUCUCCACGUUUGCGGAAUUAUUUGAUGAAGCCAUCAGGCAAGGUCUUCCUGCUGUUCAAACUCAGCAUCCAGGAUACUACUUUCAGCUGGCAGCUCAGCAUGCUACUUUGCGGCAAACAGCGUGCAGAGAUCUUUGCAAAGAUGUUAAUGAGUAUCCUGAACCUGAUCCUUUGGCAGGCCAAGACAAACUUGAAUAUUACGGUCAGAGACCAUGGCGUCCAGGGAAAUUGAGUGCCGAGCCUGCAGACAUGGCACGGGAAGCAGCGGCUAUUCAAGCUUUACAACACAAAGAGAAGACUACUGUCAACCAUUCUAUGAUAAUCAUCGGUCUUUUAGGACAUGCAAUUUCCCAGUUCAAAACUUAUCGAUGUCCAAGAAUGCGUCGUCAUUUAGUUGUACAAAUGGCUGAUGAGUAUUACAAUUCUCGAGAUUACGGGAAAGCACUCACACUGUUGAUGCAUAUGCUAUGGGAUUAUCGAGGUGAACGAUGGCCAGGGCUGUUGACAGAUAUUUUGACUAAAGCUUUGCGAGCAGCGUAUCUAUCCACGAGCUUGCAAGACUACCUCACAUUAGCCUUAGAGGCACUGGGACCAACAUCUUGUCUUCCAAAGGAUCAUCAAGCUGCAAUAUAUACCAAUAUAUCAAAUAUACUGCAGAAAAAUAUUCCCAAUCCUGAACCACAUCUACCAGAAACAACGGCGUCCUUGGCAAUGGAAAAGUGGAAUAUUAUCGUCAAUAAAUCAGAACCAUUCGUUAUUACAAUUGAUGCCAAUAAUAUGGCAACAUUUAUGGAGGUUAAAGCUAGAUUCACGCAAAAAACGUAUACAGUAAAAUCAAAUGUGACAAUUGAAGUAUUCAUUAGGAAUCUCUAUCAUCAAAGUAUGGAGUUUUCCAAAGUAUCUGUAACUGUUAACAGUCCUGGUUACAGUUCAGAAUUUGCAGUAAGCGAUAUCCAAGAUAAGCCAGUGAUAUUUCAAGAGAAAGAAACCAAAAAAUUUCUCUGCCAAUUUCAAGCAAGGCAACAAGAUGUUGGCAAUGAAAUUCAGAUCAGCACGGUUUCUUUGUACCUGGGUAGUGACAGCAAUCGUUGCUUGAUCAUGCGAUUUUCUGCUCUUGGUGGGGAGAACAAUGUUCUUGAUCGAACGUAUCCUGAAAUUCAACAAAUCCGUGGUAGUGUUCUGGAAUUCAACAAUAUGAGACCUUUAGUAAGUGCAGAAAUUGAACAGGAAGAAUCGAGUAUAAAAAUAUUAGCCGAUUCAGCAACUCCUGGUCUACUAGGCGAGUGGCUUCCUAUCAAUAUAAACUUAUCCACUUCUGAGCAAGUCGCAAGUACGCGAUUAUCUAUCGUUUUGGUUCCGGAUGGAGGCAAUGAUCAGUCCACUGAAUUGAGAUUGUCUACGAAUACCAAGCAAGAGGCGGGACCCAUAACAGUGGAUAUUCCAAUGAUUGAGAAGGAUCAGGCAAUACAUAAAAUAGUUUAUAUACGAGCCCAUAGUAUUGGGAAUCGGAAUAUUAACAUGAAGGUUGAUUACUCUAAUAUUGAGGAAGUGAAAUAUUCGAGAGAAAUCACCUACAAUCUACCAAUGGUUAAACCAUUUGAUAUCACAACACAAUUCUACACAACAUUGUUUGAACCAAUUAGUAAAGGCUUCGUUUACGAACCAUUUAUCAUGAUGCCGAAUAUAAUUUGCUCAUCCCCAUCUCCUAUAACAAUCAUUGGCACAUGCAUUGAACUGGGUGAGUCAAUGCAAAGGGAAGACGAAGAGGUCCAAGAAUCUGCUUUAUCUGGAAUUACGUUAUGUAAUGGCGAAGCUGGGUCAGAAGCGUACUGUAUUAUUCCGAAGGCAGGUAGCGAACAACCAGCCAGCACAGGUGUAUAUACGAUCCAGUGGAGAAGAACUAAUAGUCCCACAGACUUAGUGACAAGUAGCAGUGUAACACUGUCACCCCUAUGGGUCGAAGAAACACCAGUCGGAUUGGUGGCAAAAUUGCCUGCACAUGGUUCGGUUCGAACCCCACUUUGCGUUUCCUACUAUCUUCGUAAUUAUUCCGAUUAUAUGAUCACCUUACAGCUCACAAUGGAUGCCAGUGAUGCUUUCAUGUUUGCUGGACAAAAGCAGAAGAUGAUCAUAAGGUGAGCCGAAGCAGACUUGGCGAAAUGCUUGAACGAUCCUUACCAAGUCACAUUUACAUAAUGCCUCAAUCACAGAGUGUGUAGGAAAUGGUGUUCGAUGUAUUAGCGAAAUUGGCGGUACGGAAUGGAAAAAAAGUUAUAAUGUCUCAAUUAGCAGUAUAUUACAUCAUCUAUAAUAUGUAUACAUCCUGUACUAUAUAAAUGACACGUCAUUUUUCGGCA